GAUGAACGCUGGCGGCGUGCUUAACACAUGCAAGUCGAACGGGAAAUAUUUCAUUGAGCCUUCGGUGGAUUUGAUUUAUUUCUAGUGGCGGACGGGUGAGUAACGCGUGGGUAACCUGCCUUAUACAGGGGGAUAACAGUCAGAAAUGGCUGCUAAUACCGCAUAAGCGCACAGAGCUGCAUGGCUCAGUGUGAAAAACUCCGGUGGUAUAAGAUGGACCCGCGUUGGAUUAGCGAGUUGGUGGGGUAACGGCCCACCAAGGCGACGAUCCAUAGCCGGCCUGAGAGGGUGAGCGGCCACAUUGGGACUGAGACACGGCCCAGACUCCUACGGGAGGCAGCAGUGGGGAAUAUUGCACAAUGGGGGAAACCCUGAUGCAGCGACGCCGCGUGAAGGAAGAAGUAUCUCGGGAUGUAAACUUCUAUCAGCAGGGAAGAUAGUGACGGUACCUGAAGAAGAAGCCCCGGCUAACUACGUG
rnacentral:rRNA from 1 species